AGAGUUUGAUCCUGGCUCAGGAUGAACGCUGGCGGUGUGCCUAACACAUGCAAGUCGAGCGAAGCAAUUAAGAGGAAGUUUUCGGAUGGAAUGUUAAUUGACUGAGCGGCGGACGGGUGAGUAACGCGUGGGUAACCUGCCUCAUACAGGGGGAUAACAGUUAGAAAUGACUGCUAAUACCGCAUAAGCACACAGAACCGCAUGGUUCGUGGUGAAAAGCCGAGACGGUGUAAGAUGGACCCGCGUCUGAUUAGCUUGUUGGCGGGGUAACGGCCCACCAAGGCGACGAUCAGUAGCCGGCCUGAGAGGGUGGACGGCCACAUUGGGACUGAGACACGGCCCAAACUCCUACGGGAGGCAGCAGUGGGGGAUAUUGGACAAUGGGGGGAAUCCUGAUCCAGCGACGCCGCGUGAGUGAAGAAGUAUUUCGGUAUGUAAAGCUCUGUCAGCAGGGAAGAAAGAAAUGACGGUACCUGACCAAGAAGCCCCGGCUAACUACGUGCCAGCAGCCGCGGUAAUACGUAGGGGGCAAGCGUUAUCCGGAAUUACUGGGUGUAAAGGGAGCGUAGACGGUUAAGUAAGUCUGGAGUGAAAGGCCGGGGCCCAACCCCGGGACUGCUCUGGAAACUAUUCAACUUGAGUGCAGGAGAGGUAAGCGGAAUUCCUAGUGUAGCGGUGAAAUGCGUAGAUAUUAGGAGGAACACCAGUGGCGAAGGCGGCUUACUGGACUGUAACUGACGUUGAGGCUCGAAAGCGUGGGGAGCAAACAGGAUUAGAUACCCUGGUAGUCCACGCCGUAAACGAUGAUUACUAGGUGUCGGUGGGUAUGGACCCAUCGGUGCCGCAGCAAACGCAGUAAGUAAUCCGCCUGGGGAGUACGACCGCAAGGUUGAAACUCAAAGGAAUUGACGGGGGCCCGCACAAGCGGAGGAACAUGUGGUUUAAUUCGAUGAUACGCGAGGAACCUUACCCGGGCUCAAACGACGGAUGAAUACUUUUGAAAGGAGGUAGUCCUUCGGGACAUCCGUCGAGGUGCUGCAUGGUUGUCGUCAGCUCGUGCCGUGAGGUGUCGGCUUAAGUGCCAUAACGAGCGCAACCCCCAUCGCCAGUUGCCAACAGGUAAAGCUGGGAACUCUGGCGAGACUGCCGGCGCAAGCUGUGAGGAAGGCGGGGAUGACGUCAAAUCAGCACGGCCCUUACGUCCGGGGCGACACACGUGUUACAAUGGCAGGUACAGAGAGAUGCGACACGGCGACGUGGAGCGGAACUGUCAAAACCUGUCUCAGUUCGGAUCGGAGUCUGCAACCCGACUCCGUGAAGCUGGAUUCGCUAGUAAUCGCGCAUCAGCCAUGGCGCGGUGAAUACGAACCCGGGCCUUGCACACACCGCCCGUCA
rnacentral:rRNA from 1 species